GCCUGUGAGUCAAGUUUUGAUUCCAGGCAGCUGAGCAUGGACAGCAGUGUUAAGCCCCCAUUCAUGGCCACGCCCACUGGCAUAUAAAAGACAGUCUGCCUGUGAGUCAAGUCUUGAUUCCAGGCAGCUGAGCAUGGACAGCAGUUCAUUCCUUUUAUCUCCUCCAACAUUGGAAGCCUGGGUCUUCCCUGCACUGUCUGCAGCCUAGAUCUGAAUACUCAACAACAAGCUCUACAAGCCCACAAUUUACCUACUCAUAUCCAUUUAAUCCCUUAUCAGGGCUAACCCAUUGGGGGCACUCUGCAGGCACCGGCUCCCCUGAUCCUCGGAGGGCGUCCACUGUGCGGCUCCUUGCAACCCCCCUGGGGUCUGUUUUGGUUUCCCUCUCUCCCCCAUGGGGUUGUGGGUGGCGCUCCCUUCGGAUUUUCUAACGGCUCUGCACAUCUCUGGUCAUUACAAAACCCACUUCAUUCGUUAACGAAUCAACCAUCCCCCUGAAGAGACCACUUAGAGGUCGAAACGCGUCGGGGAACGCACAUCACACAGCAUAAAGCAAUGUUGUAUACAUUUGUCCAAUAUUGUGGAAUAUGUAUUGUAUCACCAGAUCCGUAAAGG